rnacentral:rRNA from 1 species
GACAGAGGAUGCAAGCGUUAUCCGGAAUUAUUGGGCGUAAAGGGCUCGUAGGCGGUUUGUCGCGUCGGGAGUGAAAACCUCGGGCUUAACUCGGGGCUUGCUUUCGAUACGGGCAGACUAGAGGUAUGCAGGGGAGAACGGAAUUCCUGGUGUAGCGGUGAAAUGCGCAGAUAUCAGGAGGAACACCGGUGGCGAAGGCGGUUCUCUGGGCAUGAUCUGACGCUGAGGAGCGAAAGUGUGGGGAGCGAACAGG